ACUCCUACGGGAGGCAGCAGUGGGGAAUAUUGCACAAUGGGCGCAAGCCUGAUGCAGCCAUGCCGCGUGAUGUAGCAAGAAUGGGCCUUUCGGGGUUUGAUAAANCACUUUUCAGUCGUGAGGAAGGUAGUGUAGUUAAUAGCUGCAUUAUUUGACGUUAGCGACAGAAGAAGCACCGGCUAACUCCGUGCCAGCAGCCGCGGUAAUACGGAGGGUGCGAGCGUUAAUCGGAAUUACUGGGCGUAAAGCGCAUGCAGGUGGUUUGUUAAGUCAGAUGUGAAAGCCCGGGGCUCAACCUCGGAAUUGC
rnacentral:rRNA from 1 species